rnacentral:rRNA from 1 species
CCCUUAGAUGUUCUGGGCGGCCCGCGCACUACAAUGGCGUGUGCAGCGAGUGCCGAAGUAGAGUUUUCCGAGGUAUUCUUGCAAUGCUCGUUUUGAUGGGGAUAGACCCUUGCAACUGUUGGUUUUGAACGAGGAAUUCCUUGUAAGCAUGGUUUAUCAUCCGACGCUGAAUGCGUCCCUGCCCUUUGUACACACCGCCCGUCGCUCCUACCGAUGAGUCGUCCGGUGAAGUUCGUAGACCUCGUGAUCGCGGAUCACUGGGGGAAGCAAAAUGAACCUCGCGGUUUGGAGGAAGGAGAAGUCGUAACA